CGGUGCAGGGGAUUCAGAGGAG
rnacentral:miRNA from 1 species